GGUUAAGCGACUAAGCGUACACGGUGGAUGCCCUGGCAGUCAGAGGCGAUGAAGGACGUGCUAAUCUGCGAAAAGCGUCGGUAAGGUGAUAUGAACCGUUAUAGCCGGCGAUGUCCGAAUGGGGAAACCCAGUGUGAUUCGUCACACUAUCGUUAACUGAAUACAUAGGUUAACGAGGCGAACCGGGGGAACUGAAACAUCUAAGUACCCCGAGGAAAAGAAAUCAACCGAGAUUCCCCCAGUAGCGGCGAGCGAACGGGGAGCAGCCCAGAGUCUGAAUCAGCUUGUGUGUUAGUGGAACGGUCUGGAAAGUCCGACGGUACAGGGUGAUAGUCCCGUACACCAAAAUGCACAGGCUGUGAACUCGAAGAGUAGGGCGGGACACGUGGUAUCCUGUCUGAAUAUGGGGGGACCAUCCUCCAAGGCUAAAUACUCCUGACUGACCGAUAGUGAACCAGUACCGUGAGGGAAAGGCGAAAAGAACCCCGGCGAGGGGAGUGAAAAAGAACCUGAAACCGUGUACGUACAAGCAGUGGGAGCACCUUCGGGUGUGACUGCGUACCUUUUGUAUAAUGGGUCAGCGACUUAUAUUCUGUAGCAAGGUUAACCGUAUAGGGGAGCCGCAGGGAAACCGAGUCUUAACUGGGCGUUAAGUUGCAGGGUAUAGACCCGAAACCCGGUGAUCUAGCCAUGGGCAGGUUGAAGGUUGGGUAACACUAACUGGAGGACCGAACCGACUAAUGUUGAAAAAUUAGCGGAUGACUUGUGGCUGGGGGUGAAAGGCCAAUCAAACCGGGAGAUAGCUGGUUCUCCCCGAAAGCUAUUUAGGUAGCGCCUCGUGAACUCAUCUUCGGGGGUAGAGCACUGUUUCGGCUAGGGGGUCAUCCCGACUUACCAACCCGAUGCAAACUACGAAUACCGAAGAAUGUUAUCACGGGAGACACACGGCGGGUGCUAACGUCCGUCGUGAAGAGGGAAACAACCCAGACCGCCAGCUAAGGUCCCAAAGUCAUGGUUAAGUGGGAAACGAUGUGGGAAGGCACAGACAGCCAGGAUGUUGGCUUAGAAGCAGCCAUCAUUUAAAGAAAGCGUAAUAGCUCACUGGUCGAGUCGGCCUGCGCGGAAGAUGUAACGGGGCUAAACCAUGCACCGAAGCUGCGGCAGCGACACUAUGUGUUGUUGGGUAGGGGAGCGUUCUGUAAGCCUGCGAAGGUGACCUGUGAGGGUUGCUGGAGGUAUCAGAAGUGCGAAUGCUGACAUAAGUAACGAUAAAGCGGGUGAAAAGCCCGCUCGCCGGAAGACCAAGGGUUCCUGUCCAACGUUAAUCGGGGCAGGGUGAGUCGACCCCUAAGGCGAGGCCGAAAGGCGUAGUCGAUGGGAAACAGGUUAAUAUUCCUGUACUUGGUGUUACUGCGAAGGGGGGACGGAGAAGGCUAUGUUAGCCGGGCGACGGUUGUCCCGGUUUAAGCAUGUAGGCUGGUUAUCCAGGCAAAUCCGGAUAAUCAAGGCUGAGGUGUGAUGACGAGGCACUACGGUGCUGAAGUAACAAAUGCCCUGCUUCCAGGAAAAGCCUCUAAGCAUCAGGUAACAUCAAAUCGUACCCCAAACCGACACAGGUGGUCAGGUAGAGAAUACCAAGGCGCUUGAGAGAACUCGGGUGAAGGAACUAGGCAAAAUGGUGCCGUAACUUCGGGAGAAGGCACGCUGGUGUGUAGGUGAAGUCCCUGCGGAUGGAGCUGAGACCAGUCGAAGAUACCAGCUGGCUGCAACUGUUUAUUAAAAACACAGCACUGUGCAAACACGAAAGUGGACGUAUACGGUGUGACGCCUGCCCGGUGCCGGAAGGUUAAUUGAUGGGGUUAUCCGUAAGGAGAAGCUCUUGAUCGAAGCCCCGGUAAACGGCGGCCGUAACUAUAACGGUCCUAAGGUAGCGAAAUUCCUUGUCGGGUAAGUUCCGACCUGCACGAAUGGCGUAAUGAUGGCCAGGCUGUCUCCACCCGAGACUCAGUGAAAUUGAACUCGCUGUGAAGAUGCAGUGUACCCGCGGCAAGACGGAAAGACCCCGUGAACCUUUACUAUAGCUUGACACUGAACAUUGAGCCUUGAUGUGUAGGAUAGGUGGGAGGCUUUGAAGCGUGGACGCCAGUCUGCGUGGAGCCAACCUUGAAAUACCACCCUUUAAUGUUUGAUGUUCUAACGUUGGCCCCUUACCGGGGUUGCGGACAGUGUCUGGUGGGUAGUUUGACUGGGGCGGUCUCCUCCCAAAGCGUAACGGAGGAGCACGAAGGUUAGCUAAUCCUGGUCGGACAUCAGGAGGUUAGUGCAAUGGCAUAAGCUAGCUUGACUGCGAGCGUGACGGCGCGAGCAGGUGCGAAAGCAGGUCAUAGUGAUCCGGUGGUUCUGAAUGGAAGGGCCAUCGCUCAACGGAUAAAAGGUACUCCGGGGAUAACAGGCUGAUACCGCCCAAGAGUUCAUAUCGACGGCGGUGUUUGGCACCUCGAUGUCGGCUCAUCACAUCCUGGGGCUGAAGUAGGUCCCAAGGGUAUGGCUGUUCGCCAUUUAAAGUGGUACGCGAGCUGGGUUUAGAACGUCGUGAGACAGUUCGGUCCCUAUCUGCCGUGGGCGCUGGAGAAUUGAGGGGGGCUGCUCCUAGUACGAGAGGACCGGAGUGGACGCAUCACUGGUGUUCGGGUUGUCAUGCCAAUGGCACUGCCCGGUAGCUAAAUGCGGAAGAGAUAAGUGCUGAAAGCAUCUAAGCACGAAACUUGCCCCGAGAUGAGUUCUCCCUGAGACUUUAAGUCUCCUGAAGGAACGUUGAAGACGACGACGUUGAUAGGCCGGGUGUGUAAGCGCAGCGAUGCGUUGAGCUAACCGGUACUAAUGAACCGUGAGGCUUAACCUU
rnacentral:rRNA from 1 species